GAUGAACGCUGGCGGCGUGCCUAAUACAUGCGAGUCGAGCGAACGGACGAGAAGCUUGCUUCUCUGAUGUUAGCGGCGGACGGGUGAGUAACACGUGGAUAACCUACCUAUAAGACUGAGAUAACUUCGGGAAACCGGAGCUAAUACCGGAUAAUAUUUUGAACCGCAUGGUUCAAAAGUGAAAGACGGUCUUGCUGUCACUUAUAGAUGGAUCCGCGCUGCAUUAGCUAGUUGGUAAGGUAACGGCUUACCAAGGCAACGAUGCAUAGCCGACCUGAGAGGGUGAUCGGCCACACUGGAACUGAGACACGGUCCAGACUCCUACGGGAGGCAGCAGUAGGGAAUCUUCCGCAAUGGGCGAAAGCCUGACGGAGCAACGCCGCGUGAGUGAUGAAGGUCUUCGGAUCGUAAAACUCUGUUAUUAGGGAAGAACAUAUGUGUAAGUAACUGUGCACAUCUUGACGGUACCUAAUCAGAAAGCCACGGCUAACUACGUG
rnacentral:rRNA from 1 species